rnacentral:rRNA from 1 species
AGAGUUUGAUCCUGGCUCAGAGCGAACGCUGGCGGCAGGCUUAACACAUGCAAGUCGAGCGGGCGUAGCAAUACGUCAGCGGCAGACGGGUGAGUAACGCGUGGGAACAUACCUUUUGGUUCGGAACAACACAGGGNAAACUUGUGCUAAUACCGGAUAAGCCCUUACGGGGAAAGAUUUAUCGCCGAAAGAUUGGCCCGCGUCUGAUUAGCUAGUUGGUGAGGUAACGGCUCACCAAGGCGACGAUCAGUAGCUGGUCUGAGAGGAUGAUCAGCCACAUUGGGACUGAGACACGGCCCAAACUCCUACGGGAGGCAGCAGUGGGGAAUAUUGGACAAUGGGCGAAAGCCUGAUCCAGCCAUGCCGCGUGAGUGAUGAAGGCCCUAGGGUUGUAAAGCUCUUUUGUGCGGGAAGAUAAUGACGGUACCGCAAGAAUAAGCCCCGGUCUAACUUCGUGCCAGCAGCCGCGGUAAUACGAAGGGGGCUAGCGUUGCUCGGAAUCACUGGGCGUAAAGGGUGCGUAGGCGGGUUUUUAAGUCAGAGGUGAAAUCCUGGAGCUCAACUCCAGAACUGCCUUUGAUACUGAGAAUCUUGAGUUCGGGAGAGGUGAGUGGAACUGCGAGUGUAGAGGUGAAAUUCGUAGAUAUUCGCAAGAACACCAGUGGCGAAGGCGGCUCACUGGCCCGAUACUGACGCUGAGGCACGAAAGC